rnacentral:rRNA from 1 species
UACGUAGGGCGCAAGCGUUGUCCGGAAUUAUUGGGCGUAAAGAGCUCGUAGGCGGCCUGUUACGUCUGCUGUGAAAUCCCGGGGCUUAACCCCGGGCGUGCAGUGGAUACGGGCAGGCUGGAGGCAGGCAGGGGAGAACGGAAUUCCCGGUGUAGCGGUGAAAUGCGCAGAUAUCGGGAGGAACACCGGUGGCGAAGGCGGUUCUCUGGGCCUGUACUGACGCUGAGGCGCGAAAGCGUGGGGAGCGAACAGG